rnacentral:sRNA from 2 species
GCGUCUCCCUUGUACGCGCCGGUUCCGAGUGCGCCGUCCACGCCGACCGAGCGACUGCUUGCUACGGUUUAUUAGCC